UUAGGUGGCUAUAGCGGCGGGGCACCACCUCUUCCCAUUCCGAACAGAGAAGUUAAGCCCGCCAGCGCCGAUGGUACUGCGUAAAAGUGGGAGAGUAGGUCGCUGCCAAAU
rnacentral:rRNA from 1 species